UACGUAGGUGGCGAGCGUUGUCCGGAUUUACUGGGCGUAAAGGGAGCGUAGGCGGACUUUUAAGUGAGAUGUGAAAUACUCGGGCUCAACUUGAGUGCUGCAUUUCAAACUGGAAGUCUAGAGUGCAGGAGAGGAGAAUGGAAUUCCUAGUGUAGCGGUGAAAUGCGUAGAGAUUAGGAAGAACACCAGUGGCGAAGGCGAUUCUCUGGACUGUAACUGACGCUGAGGCUCGAAGGCGUGGGGAGCAAACAGG
rnacentral:rRNA from 1 species